rnacentral:rRNA from 1 species
GUCAAGCGAUGAAGCGCAUACGGUGGAUGCCUAGGCAGUCAGAGGCGAUGAAAGACGUGGAAGCCUGCGAUAAGGUUCGGCGAGGUGGCAAACGACCUGCGACCCGGACAUCUCUGAAUGGGGAAACCCACCCAAGGUAACUUGGGUAUCUCAUGUUGAAUAUAUAGACAUGAGAGGCGAACCGGGGGAACUGAAACAUCUAAGUACCCCGAGGAAAAGAAAUCAACCGAGAUUCCCCUAGUAGCGGCGAGCGAACGGGGACCAGCCCUUAAGCAACACAACUGGUAGGUGAACAGAUUGGGAAAUCUGGCCAUAGUGGGUGAUAGCCCCGUAACCGAAACCUGAGUGUUGUGAAAUCGAGUAGGUCGAGGCACGUGAAACCUUGACUGAAGACGGGGGGACCAUCCUCCAAGGCUAAAUACUCCUGACUGACCGAUAGUGAACCAGUACCGUGAGGGAAAGGCGAAAAGAACCCCUGUGAGGGGAGUGAAAUAGAACCUGAAACCGUAUACGUACAAGCAGUGGGAGCCACUUCGUGUGGUGACUGCGUACCUUUUGUAUAAUGGGUCAGCGACUUACAUUCUGUAGCGAGGUUAACCGAAUAGGGGAGCCGUAGGGAAACCGAGUCUUAACUGGGCGAAUAGUUGCAGGGUGUAGACCCGAAACCGGGCGAUCUAUCCAUGAGCAGGUUGAAGGUUGAGUAACAUCAACUGGAGGACCGAACCAGGAUCUGUUGAAAAAGAUUUGGAUGACUUGUGGAUCGGAGUGAAAGGCUAAUCAAGCCCGGAGAUAGCUGGUUCUCCUCGAAAUCUAUUUAGGUAGAGCGUCGUCCGAAUACCCCGG